rnacentral:tRNA from 1 species
GCGGGUAUAGUUCAGUGGUAGAACGUUAGCUUCCCAAGCUAAAUGUCGUGGGUUCGAGUCCCAUUACCCGCUUCA